rnacentral:rRNA from 1 species
CCUACGGGAGGCAGCAGUAGGGAAUCUUAGACAAUGGGGGCAACCCUGAUCUAGCCAUGCCGCGUGUGUGAUGAAGGCCCUAGGGUCGUAAAGCACUUUCGCCAGAGAUGAUAAUGACAGUAUCUGGUAAAGAAACCCCGGCUAACUCCGUGCCAGCAGCCGCGGUAAUACGGAGGGGGUUAGCGUUGUUCGGAAUUACUGGGCGUAAAGCGCACGUAGGCGGAUUAGUAAGUUAGAGGUGAAAUCCCAGGGCUCAACCCUGGAACUGCCUUUAAUACUGCUAGUCUUGAGUUCGAGAGAGGUAAGUGGAAUUCCGAGUGUAGAGGUGAAAUUCGUAGAUAUUCGGAGGAACACCAGUGGCGAAGGCGGCUUACUGGCUCGAUACUGACGCUGAGGUGCGAAAGUGUGGGGAGCAAACAGGAUUAGAUACCCUGGUAG